ACGGGGAAGGGGUAAACCUAAUCCUCCUCUUCUCCGGCGAGCCAGAGGGGCGAGAGCGGCGGCGGGGUCGUAGGCGGCGGUGUGUGGCGAUCCGGCGAAGGGAAUCUCGCACGGCGGCGCGGCUGCUGAGGGGGAACACCCUAAUCCCCUUCUCUCCCCGACCCCUCUCCCGGCGACGCGAGUGAGUGGCUGGCGGCAAGCGCCGAGCGGCUCCAGCUUCACUGGCUGGGGGGCGCACCCGAAGACGGCGCCAAGCCAUCGGCGGUCCGGCAAAGCACCGAGCCGACGGGGGAGGGGGGGAGGUGCCAAAAGUGGCAGCCCAAGCCGAUGCUUCCCGUCUCCGGUGAGGCGGCGACGGUGGGGAAGCUCCAAGACGGCGCGAGCGGUGGUGAACCGGCGCGACCCCGAGGACGCCGGAGAGCUUCAAGUCUGGUAAGUUUCAGAAACCCGAAGCUCAAAUUUCUUGAUUCGGGUUUUGGGGCUUAUUAGGGUUCUCCAGCCGAAUUAGGGUUCUUCAAUUUGGGAAUUUAUUCGAAUUAGGGUUUCUGAGGUGUGGAUUUUUGGAAUUUCAAUCUUGUUUAUCCCAAUCUCCUUUUUUCUGAGUUGAACAGAUUGGGGAAAAUUUUGGAAAGUUCAAUCUAGUAUUUUGUUGGGGGGUGGGGGGUUGGGGCAUACCACCUAGUACUAGGUAGGAACUGUAACAUAUGUUUCAGCCUGGUUUGCCAGACAGAACAACAAAAACUUAUAUUAGGAAAUCAAUAGUUGUAGUGUACAAAAAAAAAGUUAUAACUCAAGUUGCAUUGCACAAAUUUAUAAUUGAAGUUGCACAUGAUUUUAAAAUGGCAACUACAACAAUUAGGGAAUGCAACUUUGCUAUAUAUGAGGCAACUAUUAGUCCCAUACUUUAAAAAUCACAAAAUAAUAAGGAUUGCUUUUGGGCUGCAGGGUGCAAAUAGCUGAAACGCACAAGAAAGAAUCCCAUUUGUUGGAAUGGAUUAGGUAAUGUGAAAAACUAAGAAAAACCCGAUCACCGCUACACAAAUAGAAAAACAAAGAUGUGUGUUUUUAUUAUGCUAGCUCUAGAUUUUCAAUGUUUACAUCACAAGCAAUCCCGUACUGAGCCAAUACUGCAACUAACAUAUAAAUGCACUUAAUCGAAAAGAAAAACAUGUUCUCUGAACCGCACAGAAUUCAACGCAUACUGAGGGUUAGAUCGCAUACACAGAAUCACAGAUACACAUGGACUUUCCUUAUCAAUUUGUCUAGUCCUAGCAUUUUUUUCAGGCACACGGCCUAGUAACACUUGCUACAUACUCACGUAUCAUAAUUUUCCAGUACAAGCCAUUUCAUGCCAUUGCAAAUCGGAUGGAAGCAACAGCAAGAGAGGCAAAGUGAUAAAAAAAAUAAUAGUGUCCUACUCUUCCAAAUUCAUAAAAGCAUGGUCUAUAUAAGCAUAUAAAUACAUCUAGAUUGAUUGAGUUAAAUAAAAAACAAAGUAACAAUAAGUUGCACUUUCCAUAUGAUGCAAGUAUAGGUGGCUAACAGUAAAAAAAAAAAGGAUACAUUCAACAAAACCUUUAUUAUCUUUUUGUACACAUGUUUGUUGUCCCUUCUUCCUUUUUAUGGACUUCCUGAUAUGAAGAAUUGGAAAGGAAAAUUACCAUUGUUCUGAAUCCGCAAAGAGAAGUUCAGAACCAACAGAUCCAUCAUCCUACAAAUGCAAAUUCAAAUACAAAUGCUGUAUUAGCUUAGAUGGGUGAGAUCACAUACUUAUCAUAGUAAACCUAUUCUUUCUCCUGUCAAGACGUGGCUUCUUCCUUGCUGCUACAGGGCAACAGCAAAUCAUUACGUUCGUUCCCAUCCAUCUGCUGAGUGGCGUCUCCUCAUAUAUCCGGGCCAUCCGUUUGUUUAUUAAUAUGUCCAGUACUAACUUCUUUUAGGCAAGCAUAAUAAAACCUACUAGCACUUGCAAUAUAUCACCAGCUUGAUUCCCAGUAUUAGUUGGUUCAUGCCAUUGCAUAUUGGAUAAAAGCUGCAUAUACAGAAGAAAAUCGAGAUAAAUAGUGUUCAACUCUUCCAGAAUCACAAAAAUAGUCUCCAACUUUUAUGUACAAAAAGGUGUUCAUUCCCAGUAAAAAUUGCUAGUAUAUGUACAGUCUACCAAACACAACUUUAUCCCCGUCAAAACAACUUUGUAUUCAUCUCAUAGCAUAACAAAAAAAGUGCACGCACACAGAGAUUUCAAAAGCACUGGACUGUGUUAGAGAUACAGAGCGCUUAAAGUUCAGACUGAUAGGUUUCAAAACCGUGCACAACUUCACAGAGUACAGACUAAUUCACACAGACUUAAAAGUCCAAAAAAAAAAAGGAAGAAAAGGCAUGUUCCCAUGGUUUCAAUUAGCCCACACUCCCCACAAGACAUGGAUUGGAGUUUUUACAUAAAACAUUAAUCAACAGCGAAAAUGCAAAGAUAAGAUCAAAACCUUAAAUCUAAGUUGGCCGGGCUACCGCCUUUCAUGCUGAUAGCGUGACAAAGAACAUCAAAUUUUUAGUCCCAAAAAACUUACAACUAAAUAAGUGAAGUUGCACGAGAUAUUGCUUAAACUUGCACAAUCUAGAAAUUAGAAUAUUUUUUCUUUUGUACAUCUAAGACUAAUUGAGGACAUACAACUACCACAAACUCUCCACAAACUGAAACAUUUCAAUUAUCUCAUCAUACCAGCAAGGGAUCCAAUCCCACAAACGACCCAUACCUGAGAAUCGGUGAAGAAACAAGCAACCUGAGAAUCACUCCCUCAUCCCUUCCUCCUUCCUCCUCAUCCCUAUCGCCCAACUUGCCCCAAACCCUAGCGGCGAGCGGUCGCGCACCCUCCGCCUCGCCGUGCCUCCGGCAGUCCGGCCACACAUAGAGAAAAAGAGAGAAGUGAGAGGGAAUAAGUUCAUCUUAGGUCUCUCAAUUUGUCGCCGAGUCCGAAAUUUGUCGCUGAGUACAAAACCGAGUACAACACAUCCUUCAACUUAUAAAACCGUGCAAACGAGAUCCCUCGGCAGUAUUGUGCCUGGUUUUGGCUGACGUGGCGCGCUCCUUUGACUAGGUCUUUGUCCCACGGGGCAUGGACGUGGAAAUUUGAUUAAAAAAAUAAAACCCGUGGAACCCAGAUGUCAGUUUCACACACAAAAUAAUAAAAAAAAAUGGUCAGACCCAUGUGGGCUCCACAUGUCAUCCUUACUCCUCUCUCUUCUCUCUAUCUCAUUUCUCUCCCCCCUGCACUGUAGUCUGCAAGGAGAAGGCCGGAGCGAUGGCGCGCAAAGCUGGCGGGGCGGUGGCGCAGAGGUCGCGCUCGGCCGUUGCCCAGCUCUUCCUCAGUCUCCAAAGCCUUGCGAGCCACCUUAGGAUAGUAGUACUACGUUUUCCGCUUGCCCUGUGUUACUGCUAAGCAACGCACAAGGAGCAAAGCAAAGGAUGGAUCAAUGGCCUCGUGCGAAUCUGAUCUAACGGACUCUGACGCGCGUCGUCGAUCUCCUUGUCCUUGCCGUGUACCGCAUCUGCGAGAGGAACUCGUGCAACGAGCGAGGGCUAUGGGACAAGCGUGGGAUAAGCGCCACCACAAUCGCCUGUUGCUCUCCGGCUUGCCGCCGCUCGCGUGUCCUUUCCGCCCGGCUCCCUUUGCUUCCUCUCCCGCCGUCGUCUCCGUCAUCGAAGACGACGGCGACGGCGACGGGUUCGAGGAGGAGGGCGCGCACCUCACCACCGCGGCCCCCGCCCCCGGUUCCACCGUCCUCUGCGCCACCCUCCGACCUCGACGGCGACCUCGCCAUGGGUGGCGGAGGGCGAGCUCCUGGUUCCCCACUUGCUCCCCCCCCCCCCCUUCCCCACCACCGCUGAUGGUGACGGGUUUGAGGAGGAUGCACACCUCCGCUGUGGAGAUCGGUGUCGGCGGCAGAUUUCUGCCGCUUCGGCGUUGGUUUCGCGCACCGCCACUCCCGCCUUCUCCUUGCAGACUGCAGUGCAGUGGGGAGAUAGAGAGAAGAGACAUGUAAGGAUGACAUGUGGGUCCCACGUGGGUCCCACUAUUUUUUGUUAUUUUGUGUGAAACUGGCAUAUGGGUCCCACGUGCAAACUCUCAAAUAUUUGUGACACAUAACAGACAUAAUAUGUCAUGCGACCCAUGUACAAACUCAAAUAUUUGUGUUCCAAUGUUAUUAUAUUCCAAACAGGAUACUAAGUUUGUUAUAUGAUAAAUUGUUCAAAUAUGUUCAGUUUUAGACUCGUUUGUUCCUCUAACAGUUGAAAACAUAAUAGAAUACACAGAUUACAAGCUCUACACGUUAUACGCGUGAGAUGCAAUCGUUUCAAAUCUCAAUGUUUUUUUUUUUUUGAGCAAAGGGCAGAACCCUCCAAUUUUCAUUAAAGAAACGCAGAAGUUCUUACAAAAACAGAGUCUUAGAACCAGAAGGAUAGAACCCCUAGGUGCUCACAAAAGAAACAAAGACAAACGAAAGCCAGCUAGACCUCAGUGCACAGGCCUUUGAUCAAAACAAGCCAUUUCUUGCUUUCCAAGUGGCCCAAAGUACAGCUGCCACACCAACUAGCAUUAGUUGUUUUGUAAUUUGUCACAAGGUUGAAUCCAGGAACUUAACAUAUGUCUCAUGUCUUUAAUCUGGUUCAUACCAAAAGCACAAAUCACAACAGUCCAGGUGAAUCUCACCAGAGGACAGUCAAAAAAUAAAUGUUGAAUUGUUUCUUUCUGUUCACAAAACUGACACAGAUCAUUACCCUUCCUCCAACCCCUUUUUAUCAAAUUAUCUUUUGUUAAAACAUUCUCUUUAAGCAGCAACCACAGAAAAAUCCUCACUUCAAGGGGACUUUAAUUUUCCAAAAAAAAAAUUUGUGUGAACUCCCAAUCAUGGAAACAGUCCCCUGCAACUUUAGAGCUCUAUAAAAGGAUUUAACACUAAACAUUCCAUUUCUUUGCCAGAGUCCAAACUGUCACAUCUCUUUGAUUGUUCAGAGUUAUCUCAUCACAAGAAGACUUAACUUUGUUCCAGUCAGCAAGUGCAUCUCCAAUCACAUUUCUUCUGAAAGUCAUGCAACCCCACCCUUUUUUUUUUAACUUUUGCCAAAGUAAUGAAUUGGUUCUGAGUUACUCUAUACAAAAAAAGGAAAUUGUUCUGCCAAAGGUUUUCCUCCUAACCAGUUAUCUUCCCAAAAAAGGAUGUUAUCUCCAUUUCCUGGUCUCUUGGAACAAAAAUUGAAGAAACUUUUUCUAACCUCCAUCACCCCUUGCCAAAAAUGGGAGGCCCCAGAUUUUGUUUUUGCAGCAGCCAAAAUGUUUUUGGAUAAAUACUUUUGUCUGAUACAUCUGCUGCCAUAAACCUUCAGAAUUUUCAAGGUUCCAGAGCCAUUUCCCCAGCAAAGCAAUGUUCAUGAUUUCUAAGUCCAAAAUGCCCAAACGCCCUGUCUCCCUGGGAGAACAAACCGUAUUCCAAUUAACCAAAUGAUACUUCCUAAUACCCUGAUCAUCCUGCCAUAAGAACCUCCUAUAAAGAUCCGUUCUCUCUAACCCCAAUAGGCACCCUAAAGAAGGAUAACAUGUACAAAGGAGUAUUACUAAGACAAGCAUUAAUUAAACUCACCCUCCCUCCAAUUGACUGAAGAUUUCCUUGCCAGCAACCAACUUUUUUUUUCAAUUGUUUCCUCAGGCUUCUUCCAAUCUUUGUUCAGAAGUAUUUCUUUAUCAAUUGGAAAGCCCAAAUACCUCAUUGGCAGAUCCCCUAAUUUACAGGUAAACAAAUCUCAAUGUUUAUAAGACCAACAUAUUAUUACACUACUUAAAAGGAAGAGAAUGGCUCUUUUACAAAAUGCAAACACCCAGUAACAUGCAUUGCAGUAUUUUAUAUCUCACUGACAAAUGGCCCAAGCUACAAACCAACAGUUUGCCUCUUAUCACUAAUGAUUGGUCCGCUUGUAUCACUAAUGAUUGGUCCAACCGAUGGUGGACCCCUUUUAUGGAGUAUGGAGUUAUGCAACAGUCAAAGAGUCUGCAUCUGUGGAGAGGGCAAAACCGAUGGUUGAGUAAAAGCAUGUAGGAGUAGUACUACUUUGUACUAAAACUAUGAACAGUGCAACAUUAGAGGUACUAGCAGCUGCGUGGCAGGCUUACAGGCUGGUCGCUGGAGUACCUCUCUAGGAAUAUAGGAGUAGAUAUUUAGGGUGGGAUAUUAUUCACGGACUAAACAAAACUAGAAGGCGCGCUCGCUAUUUUUACCUGGUGCAUACUACAUAAAGUAUAUUUGGAUCAAAAGAAAUUACUGUGUAUAUCUUUUAUAAAGAAUAAGUUCAAUUCCCUUAAAAAAUCCUAUAAAAGACGUACAUUUAUAAUAUAUGAUAUAAUAUACGCUUGUUAAAAAAAGGUAAUUACAUUAAUCAAAUAAGAUAAAAUAUAUGCUUCAUUUUUUUAAAACAUGUUUCAUAGAGUGCGAAUUCAUAAAUUAAAAUGUUUUUUAUAUGCACUUUUAAAUGAUUAUUGUUUCUUUUAACUAUACCAUGUAGCACAUCUAUAGUAAUGGUGAUGGUGGUGGUUCUGCCACCACCCUACCGACAUGUGGGAUUAUAGGUCCAUAUGAGGAAAUGGACACAACAUAUAUUUUUAGCCUUAUCUAGUGUUUAAACAAAACAAUGGACAUGAUUUGAAGUUUUGAACCAUAUUUUUUUUUAUAACGUGUCAAUUUGACAUAUUAAGCAAGAAAAAAUAAGCGUGAAAAAUUAUCUUUUAAAAGUCUUAUAUCUAUUGUUUAUGGUUCUAAAACCGAUGAUAGAAAAUGAUCACAAUAAAAAAAAACUUCAAAAUCAACUUUUGAAAUUUAAAUUUUGUUAUGGCUUAUAAUUAACAGGUAGAUGAUCUUAGGUGAAAACUUGAAAAAGUACUUUAUAAUUUCUCAGAAAAUCCGAUGCAGCGCACAUGUCCUUGGCAAGUUUUUUAUCUUUUUUUUACCACUGGUAAAUCCUUGAUUUAUCUCAUCAAAUGUUAAAAGUGCAAGUGGCCCAAUCAGAAGCUGGCAAACCUGCCGGCUUGUGAAUAUUUGACUUGUCCCUGUCACAUUUGAAUGUAUGUUUGGACUGUAAUUUGUAGUAUUAAACAUAUAAUAAUCACAAAACUAAUUACACAGAUGGAGGCUAAUUUUGCAAGAUGAAUCUAUCAAGCCUAAUUAGUCUAUGAUUUGAUAUUAUAGUGCUACACUAAAUGUGUGCUAAUCAUGGAUUAAUUAGAGUUAAUAGAUUCGUCUCGCAAAUUAGCCUCUAUAUGUAUAAUAAGUUUUGUAAAUAGUAGUUUAAUACUCCAAAUUACGGUCAAACACCCGAUGUACUAGGGCCAUGGAUCUGAGUCAAGCUACUGGAGUCUACUAGCUAGCUUUGGAUGAUUGGAUCUACCCACCGGCCUAAUCGGGCACAGCUCUGCCGGCCUGCCUCUUGGGGAAAAAUGGAAAAUAAAAAAAAAUAGAGAGAGAAUGUAACUAUGAAAUUAAGCAGAAGAAAUUGCUAGAUAUCGAUUCCUAGCGUGGGGCGUACUUUCACCAGCGUUAGAUAUGUUGUUCCUGCCCACCCAGCGGUCGGGCUGUCGGCUUGCUUUGCUUGCACUAUAUAAAUAGUGCCCACUGGCUGCCUAGUUACUGCGCACAGUGCACAAAAAGAAAGAAAGAAGAGAAAGACCACACAAGUAGUAGAGGAAGCAUCUCGUUCUCAUAUCCAUGGGUUCGCGUCUCGCUACCUGUGUCCUUGUACUACUUCUCGUCCUUUCUUGCGAUGCACAUACUGCCGCGGCGCCGGCUGGAGUCGCAGGCAACCUGACUGCAGCCCUGGUGCAUCUGCACGAGGAGCUGCAGGCACAAGACCCGCUGGGCUGCGACGACACCUGCCAAGGGUGCCUUGUGAGGGGUGCGCAGCUGUGUUUCGGCGAGUACUUCCUGCACCCCCUCGGCCUCGCCGAGUGCUUCAUCGAGCACAUUGUCGUCGACCGGUGCUUCGGGAACAAGUGACGUGAUUGUCACCACUGCCAUGUGUGUACCGACUUCAGAGUGAGCGUGUGCUUUUUUUUCUUUUCUUUUUUUUUUACAUUUGUUUGUGCGUGGUUUGUUUGCGCGUGUGCCUUUUUUUUUUUGGUUUGUUUGUGCGUGUGCUUUUUUUUUUGGGACAUUUGUUUGUGUGCGGUUUGUUUGCGCGUGUGCUUCUUUUUUUUUUGUGUGUGGUUUGUUUGUGCGUAUGUUUUUUUUUUUGGUGUGAUUAGUUUGUGUGUGUAUGUGGGGCGUUAUAUUGUAAUGAGCGUCUCAUUUGGAAUAAAAAUUCUGUAAAUACAUCUACAUCUCUCUCGUAUCACACAGCAAAAAAAAAUAUAUUACAGAAACGAUUGGUCGUAGGUGAAUAGUAACGAUCUUUUUAAUAUAAUAAUUAUUAACACAUAAAUUAGAUAUAUAGUCUGGAAUUAGAAAAAUGGUCUGGACGCUGACUACAAUAGCAUCCGGGUGUGGACGUCUUGAUAAAAAAAGCGUCUAGAUCUGGACGCUCUUGCAGAUGACGUCCACAGUCUGGUGCGAUCCAACUCCAACCUGAGUGAUCGCCAUCGCCAUCAGUUUGGUGUUGCUACCACGUGGACGGUGGAUCUCCUCGCCGUCAUCGUCCGCACCUCCUCCUACUCGUCGAUUCGAUGAGGUGCGGCGAGCGAAGCCCUCUUGGCAUGGACGAAGGCCACAGCGCCACCCAUCAACUAGAGAACGAGGCUCCCACGUACGCGGCACGCGCGACUGAUUCCUCUUCUCGUUUUACUUUUUUUUAUUCUCCUUUUUUUUUUCCUGUAUUGAUUAUCGUAGCAACCAAUCAGAGGCGAGCAACUGCACCAGAUGGACGUGGUACCUUACAGCGUCCUUGUCUGAGACGCUCUUUUUUACUUAGCGUCCAUCCUAUUCUUGUAAUUCUACUCUAUGAUUUUACUGGAUAUUUAAUUCAUUUGUUAAUAAUUAUUAUACAAAAAAAAUUCGGUGAAUAAUGUAGAGGCAUGUGAAAAAAUUUGUUAAGCAUGCUGCCAGUAGCAGAUGGAAUGUGAAAAAAAUGCUGUCCGAAAAAAAAAAGGAGGAAAUAUUACACUAUACAAAUUAGUAUCGAUCUACGGUACGAUUUAGUAACGGGUGAUUGUUUACCUCUGCCAGCUCAACCAUCGGUGCCCUAGGAAGUAGGAACAUCAUAAUUACAUUAUACUAAGGAUAGAGUUACGUGCAAGGGGUUAUCCACAUACCCAGCAAAACGAACAUUUAGUCAAAAAUCGUUAAUUUUCCAAUUAACUGAAAGCAAAGAUAAAAUAGUAAGUUUCCGAGGUAAAAUUCAACGGCAGCAACAAUAAAGAAAACUGUAAUAAGCUAGCAUUGGUCAGCAGCAGCACAUCCACAAGGACCACAUCACAGCAAGCAUGAAGCAGAGCAAAGCAGUACAGCACAGAGGGACCGAGGAGGAUUAUUGCCUCGAGGCGACCGAGUUGUCCAUGAAGUCUGGGAUAGCAUCCAUGUAGAUUUAAUCUGCCUAGCUUACCAACUAUUUUUUUUUUUAAAGCAGCUUACCAACUAUUUAAUUCAGGCGCCAUUGAUCUGCAGGCAACGGUAGGGUAAGUAAUGCAUUAAGUCCCCCAAGCAAAUAGACAUCGGAAAUCGCUUAUAUGGCUCGAGAUGAGCGCACAACCAUUGUAGCAGGAAUACAGCCAACAAAAAAAAAACAGAUGGGAGGAGAGAGAACUCUAAACAAAAUACCAAAAUGCAAUUAGGAUAGCAACCUUAGGUGGAGAAAACUCUAAACCCUAAACCCUUCGUAGUUCUGAUAUGGGAGCCAAUACGGCUGCCGCCGGUGUGAAGCGCCUCUACCAGCGCCUUGCACCCACACACCAUGCCCGGCGGCGGUGGCCAGGUGAAGACGGGGAGCCAACACGGGCGGUUGGGGAGUCGGGGAGAGGGAGGCGAAGGUACGAGCUGGAGGUGGAGAUGGCGAUGUCAGGGAAGUAGGAGGAGACUACCGCCAUCGAGAUUGGGCAGUAUGAGAGCGAGCGAGUCAAGGGAGGCAAGCAAGGGGAAGGGACUAUAUGGUCAAUUGUAAGGACGUGCAAUGCGGAGCCACAGGCAAUUUCAGGAUUACAGUAAUAGCAAAGAUUAUGCAAAUGAUUAAGAAAGUACAUAACAAAUUAGAAGGAAAUAUACAGUUAAAAAGGUCCAUGUGCUGUUAACUGAAAGAGAUUACCAACAUUUAAAUUGGACAGGCAAAAUUACAUGGUCUCUCUUACAUAGAUGCGUAGCAAAGUUGACAUCCAACACUAUGGCUUUUCAUUGAAAAUUAUGAGGUUGAGUAGCAAAAUUACAUGGUCUCUAAGAAUUGAAAAGUUUCCAGUGACUUUGUUUCACUUAUACAUUCAAUAUUAUGCAAUCAUUUAGGAUUUUUUUUCUAUUUUAUCCAUCAGAUGGCCAUUAUAAAUCUAUGAACAGAUAAACUUAAUUUACCUUGAUCAUCGUGUUAUGAACAAACGGUACCUAAAAAAAUCAGGCUUUUAAUCAUCAAAUCAGUCUAGCAAAUGGAAAAUUUUAUUCACUAUAUGGCCUAAUUUACGUAAGCCAAAAUUGCUUUGCAAAUAUUAGCUUCGACUCUUUCCUCCAUAACAGUAUCGCUACCCACGUUUGAGUGGUGCUCUCGAAAUCAAACUUGCAGUUGCAGGUAUGAAAAAAAAACUUAUUUGGAUUUGUUUAAGUACUCAACACCACACGGUGAAUAGUAAUCCCUCCAUUUCAAAUUGAUCUAUAUAUUUCAUAGAUACACCAAGACCAAGAAAAGCUAACAACUCUCUCGUACUAUAUUUACUCUACUAACAAAAUAUAUUUACUCUAGUAACAAAAUCGAUGCAUGCACCAUCCCCACUAUUUUCUAGCCAAUAGCAAAUCAAGAUAUUAUAUAUGGGUUAUAAAUACUUGUAUGCAUGCAUCAAUGUCUAUUUACUUCAAUGUACAAAUAACGAAUAUUUUUAAUAAAUGAACACAAAUAUGUAGAUCAUUUAGAAAUAACCUAAAAAAAACUAUAUAUAAAUCAAUUUGAAAUAGAGGGAAUAAACAAUGAACAAAAUGAAUGUUACCUAAUGAGUUUACAAUCGAAGGUGGAGACCGCGGAGUGAUGACUGGUGAGGCGGCGAUGUCCAGGGAAGAUGACGCUGGUGGCGAAAGUGGCGUGGGAUGGU
rnacentral:lncRNA from 1 species